rnacentral:tRNA from 1 species
GCGCCUUUAGCUCAGUUGGUUAGAGCAUUACCUUCACACGGUAGGGGUCAGUGGUUCGAGUCCACCAAGGCGCACCA